CAAACUGGAAGAGGACAUAAGCAGCUCUAU
rnacentral:piRNA from 1 species